GAUGAACGCUGGCGGCGUGCCUAAUACAUGCAAGUCGAGCGAACAGACGAGGAGCUUGCUCCUCUGACGUUAGCGGCGGACGGGUGAGUAACACGUGGAUAACCUACCUAUAAGACUGGGAUAACUUCGGGAAACCGGAGCUAAUACCGGAUAAAAUAUUGAACCGCAUGGUUCAAUAGUGAAAGACGGUUUUGCUGUCACUUAUAGAUGGAUCCGCGCCGCAUUAGCUAGUUGGUAAGGUAACGGCUUACCAAGGCAACGAUGCGUAGCCGACCUGAGAGGGUGAUCGGCCACACUGGAACUGAGACACGGUCCAGACUCCUACGGGAGGCGACAGUAGGGAAUCUUCCGCAAUGGGCGAAAGCCUGACGGAGCAACGCCGCGUGAGUGAUGAAGGUCUUCGGAUCGUAAAACUCUGUUAUUAGGGAAGAACAAAUGUGUAAGUAACUAUGCACGUCUUGACGGUACCUAAUCAGAAAGCCACGGCUAACUACGUG
rnacentral:rRNA from 1 species